rnacentral:rRNA from 1 species
GAUGAACGCUGGCGGCGUGCCUAAUACAUGCAAGUCGAGCGAACAGACGAGGAGCUUGCUCCUCUGACGUUAGCGGCGGACGGGUGAGUAACACGUGGAUAACCUACCUAUAAGACUGGGAUAACUUCGGGAAACCGGAGCUAAUACCGGAUAAUAUAUUGAACCGCAUGGUUCAAUAGUGAAGGACGGUUUUGCUGUCACUUAUAGAUGGAUCCGCGCCGCAUUAGCUAGUUGGUAAGGUAACGGCUUACCAAGGCAACGAUGCGUAGCCGACCUGAGAGGGUGAUCGCCCACACUGGAACUGAGACACGGUCCAGACUCCUACGGGAGGCAGCAGUAGGGAAUCUUCCGCAAUGGGCGAAAGCCUGACGGAGCAACGCCGCGUGAGUGAUGAAGGUCUUCGGAUCGUAAAACUCUGUUAUUAGGGAAGAACAAAUGUGUAAGUAACUAUGCACGUCUUGACGGUACCUAAUCAGAAAGCCACGGCUAACUACGUG